rnacentral:rRNA from 1 species
UACGGGGGGGGCAAGCGUUGUUCGGAAUUACUGGGCGUAAAGGGCUCGUAGGCGGCCAACUAAGUCGGAUGUGAAAUCCCCAGGCUUAACCUGGGAACUGCAUCCGAUACUGGAUGGCUUGAAUCCGGGAGAGGGAUGCAGAAUUCCAGGUGUAGCGGUGAAAUUCGUAGAUAUUCGGAGGAACACCAGUGGCGAAGGCGGCUCACUGGUCCGGUACUGACGCUGAGGUGCGAAAGCGUGGGGAGCAAACAGG